rnacentral:lncRNA from 1 species
GAGUUUCGAUUAGUUUUCAUACGUAAUUUACCGAUUGUUCCUAGAACAAGUGGCAAAGGACUUGAUGGUUAGUACCCGAUGUCCUAAGUUCGAAUCCUAGCUAGUUGAUUCACAUUCCAGCUAAGUUUAUUUCUAAAUGAAAUAAAUUGAAGUGGAUAACAUGCUACCUAUCUCUCAAAAAAAAAAAAAAUUUUUUUUCAUACAUAAUUUGAA